GACGAACGCUGGCGGCGUGCCUAAUACAUGCAAGUUGAGCGCUGAAGGUUGGUACUUGUACCCACUGGAUGAGCAGCGAACGGGUGAGUAACGCGUGGGGAAUCUGCCUUUGAGCGGGGGACAACAUUUGGAAACGAAUGCUAAUACCGCAUAAAAACUUUAAACACAAGUUUUAAGUUUGAAAGAUGCAAUCGCAUCACUCAAAGAUGAUCCCGCGUUGUAUUAGCUAGUUGGUGAGGUAAAGGCUCACCAAGGCGAUGAUACAUAGCCGACCUGAGAGGGUGAUCGGCCACAGUGGGACUGAGACACGGCCCAAACUCCUACGGGAGGCAGCAGUAGGGAAUCUUCGGCAAUGGACGAAAGGCUGACCGAGCAACGCCGCGUGAGUGAAGAAGGGUUUCGGAUCGUAAAACUCGGUUGGUAGAGAAGAACGUUGGUGAGAGUGGAAAGCUCAUCAAGUGACGGUAACUACCCAGAAAGGGACGGCUAACUACGUG
rnacentral:rRNA from 1 species